CCAACGUCUCAUGAGGGUUCCGGCCGAAUGUUUGCCAUUUGGAAAGUCAGCUGACAAAUAUGCGCCGUCUCGUCGGUCGGGCGGAGGCGAAGUCAAACACGGAGCGGCGCCGCCGACGCGCUUUAUCAGCUGCAGCGCCGCUGCUGCCGAUACCAGCCCCCAAAUGUCACUGCAAUAAAGCGCAACUGUCCUCAAGAGGUUAAUUACGACACGCGCCAGUGAGGAGUGCGACUGCGGCCAUACAAAAGACGGGGAAAUACCAAAAAAUAAAAGAAAACACAAUUCCGUAUAGAACGUGAGAGACUUUCCAGCAGUUCAAGGAAAACAACAUUUAAAAAACUUCAAUACCAAAUAAAAUACAAAAGGCCCUCUCUUUCGUAUCCUAGCUAUUGCGCAUUUUGCAGGACUCUCCUAAACUGCAAAGGCUACUCCAACCUCUCCACCAAUCGGUUUUCCACCAUCCACAUCGGGCUUCUCUGGUGUCGCAUUACCCGCAGUGAGGUUUAAACACGGUGGACAAAAAUGGUGGUAUCACGCCUUUAAAGAAAAUGACCUAUAGACCAUUCUCUUUCCUUUCACUUCACUGUCUUUCUUGGAACUAGUGCAGGCGUUCAUUUAACGUUUCAACUGAUGCGUUUUCAUCGUUUCAUGCUGACUGGCGCAUUGGGGACUGUGGGCACGCAGUCUGGCUCGCAGACGUACGGGGCCGCAGCGAGCUCCUCACAUGACUCUCAGGACUGUAUCAUGUGACUCUGCAUGGACAAUGUGUCUUGGCAGGGGCGUGCAUUCCUGUGAAAAUGAGAACAGGCGCUACGCAAGAAAACUUCAAUAAACAAGCUCCUCUUCACAGGGGCUAUGUAAGUUAGCAAAAACCCGCCUCGCCUCGCAGUAACGUCCACGUAAAUGCCUGGAACAGAAGAAUCAUCGAGAUUAUAUCCUCAGGUUGCUCUUUCGUUACCUGUACACGGUUGUGUCACUGCUAAGGACAAGGGUCCCCAGCUAGCGAUAAUCAAGCCCCCCAGCUGCAAGUCCUUCCAAGCCCCCUGCCUGCCGUUGGACGCACAGAGACGAGGAAAAGGAACUCCCCGAGCUUGUGAACGGGCCAAAUGUCACAUUUUCCAGCGCUGCCUUGUGUUUACUGCUGUUUGUUAAUAAAUCAAAUUACAUCUGA